rnacentral:rRNA from 1 species
GAUGAACGCUGGCGGCGUGCUUAACACAUGCAAGUCGAACGGAAAGGCCCUGCUUUUGUGGGGUGCUCGAGUGGCGAACGGGUGAGUAACACGUGAGUAACCUGCCCUUGACUUUGGGAUAACUUCAGGAAACUGGGGCUAAUACCGGAUAGGAGCUCCUGCAGCGUGGUGGGGGUUGGAAAGUUUCGGCGGUUGGGGAUGGACUCGCGGCUUAUCAGCUUGUUGGUGGGGUAGUGGCUUACCAAGGCUUUGACGGGUAGCCGGCCUGGGAGGGUGGCCGGCGACAUGGCGCCUACGGGAGGCAGCAGUAUCGAAUGGUAGGCAGUGGGGGGGAACAUGGCACAGUGGGCGGGAGCGUGUGGCGGCGGCCUCCGGUUCGUGAUGACGUCUUUUUGGGUAAAAACAGCUUUCGCCUGAGACGAAGCGUGAGUGACGGUAAUGAAUAAAGAAGCACCGGCUAACUACGUG